rnacentral:misc_RNA from 1 species
GAUGAAGAACGUAGCAAAAUGCGAUAGGUAAUGUGAAUUGCAGAAUUCAGUGAAUCAUCGAAUCUUUGAACGCACAUUGCGCCCGCCAGUAUUCUGGCGGGCAUGCCUGUUCGAGCGUCAUUUCAACCCUCAAGCACAGCUUGGUGUUGGGACUCGCGUUAAUUCGCGUUCCCCAAAUUGAUUGGCGGUCACGUCGAGCUUCCAUAGCGUAGUAGUAAAACCCUCGUUACUGGUAAUCGUCGCGGCCACGCCGUUAAACCCCAACUUCUGAAUGUUGACCUCGGAUCAGGUAGGAAUACCCGCUGAACUUAAGCAUAUCAAUAAGCGGAGGA